rnacentral:rRNA from 1 species
AGUAAUGUGUAGAGAAUCUGCCCUGUACUGGGGGACAACAGAGGGAAACUUCUGCUAAUACCCCAUAUGAGCGUACCUGCGAUGGUAUUCUUGAAAGUUCCGGCGGUACAGGAUGAGUCUGCAUCUGAUUAGCUAGUUGGUGGUGUAAUGGACUACCAAGGCGACGAUCAGUAGCCGGACUGAGAGGUUGACCGGCCACAUUGGGACUGAGAUACGGCCCAGACUCCUACGGAAGGCAGCAG